UGUCAUUUUAAGCAAAAAUUUUAGGGAGGGAUACAGCUUUAAAAAUGUUUAUUUAUUUUUUUAUACAAAGAAAAGUUUAAUUUUAGCUAAAUAAAUUAAGUUUGUCCAUGAUUUACAUGUAAUUUUAAUUAGGCUAUAUGCGCUUAUUUGCAGUGAUUAAUAUUAGUUAAUUUAUGAAAUUGAGAACUAGUAUGUGUCUAGAGUAUUAACUAAAUUUGUGCCAGCAGUUGCGGUUAUACAAAUAAUACAUUUUAAUUUUUAAGGGUUAAUAAUUAAAAUAUUAAUAAAUUUUAAUAACUUAAGUUUUAAGGUGAAAUUUAAAUUUUAGUAUAAAAUUAUUUGUUGAGGUUAUAAAAUUUAGGGAUUAAACUGGGAUUAGAUACCCCAUUAUUUUAAUGUAAAUAAUUUACUUGAUUAGUAUAAGUUGUGUUCUGGAAAAUUAAAAAUUUUGGCGGUGUCCUAGGCUUUUUAGAGGAACCUGUUUUUAGAUUGAUAGUCCACGAUUUGCUAUACUUUUAUUUGUUUGUAUAUCGUCGUUGUUAUAAAUAUAUUUUGAUAUAAAUAUUUGAGACUUUAGAUUUGAAAUUAAAUCAGAUCAAGAUGCAGUUUGUAUAUAAGUUAAAAUGGGUUACAAUGGGAUUUGUAUGAGGAUUUUUAGUUUAAAAAUUAAUUUGAUUAAGGAUUUAAAUGUAAUUUAAUUUAAAUUUUUUUAAUGAUUUAAGCUCUGGGAUGUGUACAUAUCGCCCGUCGCUUUCAUUUUAAAGUGAAAUAAGUCGUAACAUAGUAAUUUUACUGGAAAGUGAAGUUAGAAGAGC
rnacentral:ncRNA from 1 species